rnacentral:rRNA from 1 species
AUUGAACGCUGGCGGCAUGCUUUACACAUGCAAGUCGAACGGUAACAGCACUUCGGUGGCUGACGAGUGGCGCACGGGUGAGUAAUACAUCGGAACGUGCCUAGUAGUGGGGGAUAACUACUCGAAAGAGUAGCUAAUACCGCAUGAGAUCUAAGGAUGAAAGCAGGGGACCUUCGGGCCUUGCGCUACUAGAGCGGCUGAUGGCAGAUUAGGUAGUUGGUGGGAUAAAAGCUUACCAAGCCGACGAUCUGUAGCUGGUCUGAGAGGACGACCAGCCACACUGGGACUGAGACACGGCCCAGACUCCUACGGGAGGCAGCAGUGGGGAAUUUUGGACAAUGGGCGCAAGCCUGAUCCAGCAAUGCCGCGUGCAGGAUGAAGGCCUUCGGGUUGUAAACUGCUUUUGUACGGAACGAAAAGCCCUCUUCUAAUACAGGAGGGUCAUGACGGUACCGUAAGAAUAAGCACCGGCUAACUACGUG